UUGAUAUUGUCAUGAAUUGCAAACAAUGUAUUAUCGGAAAGCGAUAAAUAACAAUCAAAAUCAAAUGUCUCAUGCAAGGACAUAUAUAAUAGGUCUUAUUAGAAUAAAAAGCAGUACAAUUGAUUAAAAAUCUUGUUCUUAACAGCGAGGCAAGGCGUGCAAAUGACCAGCAAGGGAACGUCAAUCAAUCAUGUUCUGCCACAUAAAAAAUUAGAGUCAAUGUACUGGUUUGAAGUAGGAAUUUGUGAGACUACAAUAAAAUGAAAAACAUUUUAUUUUUCUCUUACCUCGCUAGAUGGACUGCUAUAAGAAGAGGAUCCAGUAUUUGUGGUAAAACUUGAUGAUGAAGACUCGAAAUAAUCAUAAGCAUCUGUUGCGGUGAAAAUUUUGCUCUUGAUCAAUAUGUUGCCAUCAUUUAUCUCUAUUUUGAGAGUAACCUCUUUAUCGAUAAUUUGUCUCAAGCACUCUGGAUAGAGAAUAGAAUACUGACACUGCACGUAGUAAAUGAUACAUUCCAAAAUUAAGAACCGAGAAAUUUAGAAUUUAGAAUACUAAUGUUGCAGUAUUUAAUUAUAUGAAGUUAAGUUCAACGGAGACCACAUUUUUUUCGGAGACCUGGAGACCACAUAUGUUCUGCAAGUAAAAUAUUUCAUAAAAAUAUUGCAAAACGUAUAGUUUUGCAAAUCAUGUUCUACGAAAUCAUUAUUUCAUUUAAAAUCUUGAAUAUCAUAUAAGUUUUACAUGUGGAACAUUACAAAAUGUUUUGUUCUAUGAAAUAUAUUCAGUUUGCAGAACAUUUGUUAAACUUGCAGAACAUACAUUAUCUAUUUAUUAAACAUAGAUGAUUUUCAACAAUUUUAAUGAAUACAUGAUAUUCGUAGAACAUAUUUUACAAAAUAAGUUAUUUUAUAGUGUUUUGAUUGCAAAACAUGCGUGGUCUCCGAGGUCUCCGAUGAAUUAGCGGUCUCCAUAGAACUUUCCUCUUAAUUAUAUAUAUAUAUAUAUAAGAAAGUUAUUUGGAGUACCAUAAUUAUUGGAGUCCUUGGAGUCCUAAUCCUAGCCCUUGAUUUAGAAUUAGAUCCAAUGGCUGAUAAUUUUUUGGAUUAAUAUAUAAACAGUUUUUUUCAUUUGUUUCAGACAGGCGCGUGUUUUGCUUGCCGUUACAACUGAUCGAGAGUUGUGUACUCGUGUGUUCAAUUUUUUUUUUAUCCUUUUCACUUUUUAUACUUUUUACUUAGUAUACUGGUCUUCGUAUACUAAUGUUACUGGCAAUUGGUUUCGCCCGAAGCAUCAUACUCAUGAUUUAGAUUAAAAAUUAUUACUCUUAUUUAACCUACGUUCAUCCCUCACUGUUUAUAAUGAUCAUUAUUAUUAUCUUUUUGCCAGAAUUGAUAAUUAUUUAACACCCUUAAAUUUUAAAUAAUAACAAAUAUCGACUAUUUCUAAUUAUUUCAAAUUUAUUAUGUCAAUUAUAUUUAUAUUUUAUGUACAAUAAACUACACUGUGUACUUAUAAUGCAGUAUCAAUAUUCAACGAAAUAUGCUACCAAAAAAAGAUAAAAUCCCCUAGUCAACAUAUGCAGGACAAAUGCAGGCCAUAUGUUAAUCAGAGUGCAAGUCUCGAAUUCUACUUCCUUAAAAUUGUAAAAAUAUUAGGAACAUCAGAUGAUUAAUUGCAUCUUUCUUCUAGUAUCUACCGCAUCUAUGUUUUGCAAAUCUUGUGUUGGUAAUAGAGCAUAUCAUACAAAUGAAGAUGAACUAUUGUGGUUCGCAAGUCAUUCUUAUAUAUUCUAGGUCUUAUUAUCAUUUCUUAAGAUUAAUUUGUACGUUUGGUUCAUGUUAGACAACUUGAAAUAGUUCACACUUUAGUCGACAAAGAAAAUCCAUAGGCCUUGCAUUCAUAUCCUUUCUCGUCCCAAAUGCUCUUUUGUCCUUCAAAGCAAUGUGAAAUGUAUAUGCUCAAGUAAGGGAAUGUACACAUAGAAACCAAAAAUUGGAUGCUUUAUUUACACUCACAGGAAAUCCUUUGGCACUUACUAAAAAUUUGCCUUCCAAACGUAGUAUAUUCCUUGUGAUUUGAGAAACGACGGAAAUAAUAUUAUAGUUCAUUUUAUGUCAAAUCUUCUGCAAGUCACAAACUUGCAAGUCACGGACUUGGAAGCAGAAUCAUUGUCAAGCCCGCACCAUUUCACCUACCUGUUAUUAUACCUUCCUACCGGUGGAAUACAACUGAACUAAAUACCACAUGAUCACCAAAGACAAAGUUUUAAAAACAAAUAUCCUUCAAGCCAAGUACAUCAUUAAUUCAAACAACUGUUUCAUAUUAGUCCACAAACUAAUGUAGCAACUAAAGAUAAAAUCUUAUUAUAGUAGAACACAUUACGAAUAUAUUUCAAGGAUCAAAAACAUUUAACUCUUAACAACUUGCUUUUGCUGAAAUUGAUCAUUCGAUGCAACACCAGAUGCCUCUUCUUGUUUUUGGACUAUAACAGAAGUGGUGAGCAUAGACCGCUCUUAGCUUUUGCACCACACUUUUCUGAUUGUCAUGCACAACAUUAUAAUAUAAUCAUCCAUGUGGAUAGCCUAAGCCAUAAGGAAAAAAAAGAAAUGUAUGUUACUCCAUAGCAGAGCGCAAUCCACUACUCCACGCUGAUGUGUUUCCCAUAUACGACUCUAAGUGUCUCAUAACAUAUACUCCGCAAUCUACUGCAUUAUCUAAGGUUUGCAAACUCAUUGUAAUAAUAUACAGCUUCAGGUUUACUAUUUCUCUAUACUUAGUUAAUGAGUAGCAUUGUAAAAAAUGGCCAGAAUAGAAAUUUACCAUUUUAAAAUCAAGAAUGUCGUAUGCCCCGCUAUAUUUUAGUAUAAUAAACACGUGCAUAAUAUAUUUUAGUAUCUAUAAGCGCAGGAUUAUUUGUGUUCUGCAUCAAAGAUAAAGUAAGUAAGCUUUGCAGGACAAACAUUAAUAUGUAAAAAAUUCUAAGAAUCUUUGGCUUGCACUUUGAAAAAACUACACAUUCCAGACAUAACAGGUGUCGUCUAUAGAUAUUAAUCUCACAAAUAAGGAAACGCACAUAAUGUGACACAAUAUCUUACAAAAGUAAGGCCCCUCGUAGUACAUGAUAGUGCAAGAUAACUACUUCAAAGCCGAUUACAAUUACUUCCAUAUGUCUAAGGUGCAGUACAAUUAAGCUACUGAUAUACAUUUAAAGCACUUAAGGAGCAUAAAAACAUGAUAUAAAAUCCAUCAACAUUAAUCUUCAAUGCAAUGUGGGAAACUUAAACUGGUAAAUGAUUUCAAGACGAAACCGCAUUAUACUUUAAUCUCGGGAAAAAAAUACGCACUUUUGAAUGCAAAAUUCAUUCUGAACAUCAUGCUUCGUGUUAAAAAUGCAGGACCUACUUCGUGUCCUGUUAAAAAAAACAUCAAAGAAGUUCCACCCACGCAUUCAACUUGGUAAGAAAGACAAGAUUAGUUAACCCAGUGCCAGACAGAAAUACACUACUAUCUCGCACAUCUUGAUCUUUCAUACAUCAGGUUAACAUUGAUUAAAAACCCAAAAUGGAAAAUGUUUUGCUUAAGCCAUGUACAGAACUCGUACAAAAUUGAAUUACAUCUGAAGAGCGACAUUAAUUUUUUCAUGUAACACCCAAACCACAACCCACAUUACUAAAUCUAUAUAUUUACAAACUACUCGCGCAUCUAAUGCAGAACACAACCAUUCAAUGCAAACAGAACAUGUAUACUCAAAGAAAACACCAAAUACUCAAUUUACAACACCACGUCCUGCAUAACACCCAAACCAAAACCCACAUUACUAAAUCUACAUGUUUACAAACUACCCGCGAAUCAAAUGCAGAACACAACCACUCAAUGAAAAUAGAACAUUUAUACUCACAAAAAAAAACCAAAUACCCAAUUUACAACACCACGUCCUCCAUAACACCCAAACCAAAACCCAUAUUAGUAAAUCUACAUAUUUACAAACUACCCGCGAAUCACAUGCAGUACACAGCCACUCAAUGCAAACAGAACAUGUUUACUCAAAGAAAACACUACCCAAUUUACAACACCAUGUCCUGCAUAUUCUCCCCAAUACCACUGCUCAUUCUUAAAUGCUUGUGAUGUCCCAUAACUUAAUAUCAAGUGCACAACAAUUAUAGAGAUGAGUGAUUUUAAAAGACUAGAUUCGGCGAGAUGAUGACCUAUAACACGAAAAAACAAUUGCAGGACAACCCAUCAAACACAACAAUUGAGGGACAAAAAUUCCGGUCACCGAUGACUCACUUAUGCGAUAUGCAAUUCAAAAGCAGAACCUAAUCGAAAAAGUGUGGCCAUACCUGAACUCAUCUUGAAAUAUACUUCCAUCAUCUUGCACAGCCCCUUAUCCCUUAUGGUCAAUUGAUGUUGCGUACCUGAACUCAUAAUGUUGUCACCUAGAAUCGUCCUGCAGCAAAGAACUGAGUUGUUGAAUUAAGUCCGUCGAGUCCCGCACCUUGGUUUGAUCUCAGCGAAUUCAAGCCCUCAUGAUAAUGGGAGCAGUUUUGAGCAGAUCAUGUGGGAUACGGUUUUAAAUUAGCAUUUAAAAUUAAUUAAAACUGAUGAUGCAGCAUUUUAAAUCAUUAAAUCUCAGCCACAGGAUCUUUUAAAAUCUAAUGGUAGAUCUUAGGGACUCCAAUUUCUCACUAAAUCUAGUACCCCAUAGAUCUCCACUAUAUAUAUAUAUAUGUUNAUAUAUAUAUAUAUAUAUAUAUAUAUAUAUAUAUAUAUAUAUAUCGAUCGAGUAUGCAUACCACUUUGUUUUCAGACAGUAAUUCUGAAGCUGUCUUCCGAACCAAACAUUGGACCGCACUGUCCAUGAGAAUAAAAUUAUAUUCAGCUAUUGCAUCCUCUGCUACUACAAUAAUCCUGUACCUACACAGAUAUGAGCAUUCACAAUUAGUUAUGUCAUUCAUUAUUCAUUAUUAUUGUAACAACCAAACUUUUGACAACUAAAAUACAGUUAUUAAAGAGUAUAGGAUACUCCCAAGCAACAACUUUAAUUAAGCUAGGAUAUGUAACAUACUUUAUCUUGCCAUCAAGCUGCAAAGAUUCAUUAUCGUAGUCAGAAUAAGUCCACCAAUUGGCAAUCUCUUCAACAUCUGUGAUCUUGACAACACACAGGAA
rnacentral:lncRNA from 1 species